rnacentral:rRNA from 1 species
GGUAAAUUCUGCCCUAUGGUUUUCUAAAUGGCUGCAGUAUUUUGACUGUGCAAAGGUAGCAUAGUAAUUAGUUUCUUAAUUAGAAGCUGGUAUGAAUGGAUUAAUGAGAAAGAUAUUUUAUUAAUUUCAUUUUUAUAAAUUAAAUUUUAAGUAAAAAUGCUUAAUUAAUUUCUAGGGACGAUAAGACCCUAUAGAACUUUAUAUAAUAUCAUAUAUUAAUAUAUUUUUAUAAAAAUAUUAUAUUAAUAUUUAUUAUAAUUUGCUGGGGUGGUAGAUAAAUUUUAACUUUAUAUUUAAAUUUCAAUAAUUAAUGUAAAUAAUGAUCCUUAUGGAAUUUAAGAUUUAGUUACCUUAGGGAUAACAGCGCAAUUUAAGUGGGGAGUUCAUAUCUAUAUUUUAUUUUGCGACCUCGAUGUUGAAUUAAGGAAAGAUUAAGAAGUAGAGUUCUUGUAUCUAAGUCUGUUCGACUU